UGGAAAAACAUGUGCUGUGAUUUAAGCAUGAAUUAUAUAUGGUUAUACACCUAAAGAAACUCAAAUUUGAGUGUUUUUGUGCACAUAAAUUUCUGUUUUGUUUUCUAAAAAAUAGUAAUAACGAUUGCACUGCAGAAUUGCUUUCAUAGUAAAUGCUUGCUGUGAAAGCAUGAGACCUGGAUUUCAGAUCCCCAAACCCACAUAGAAGCUGAAGGGGUGUGGUAGUUCGGUUUCAAAGAGACAAGGACAGGGAAUUCCUUGACAAAGCAGGCUAGCCAACUAUGUGAAACGAUGAGUUUCUGGUUCAGUGUGAGACUCCUUCCUGCUCCAUAUGGAGGAUAGAGAACAAUCAAGGAAGACACCCACUAUGUCUUGACCCUCUAUACCCAUGCACAAACAUGUCUGCCCACAGACCCAUACAUAUUCAUGGAUAGCAUACAUGUGCGCAGAAAGUAACAGUAGCAGUAAAGGAGAUUUGGUUCUCCCAAAUGAGGAGAUGACUUGGCAGCUAUUGUUUUGCCAGUGGAAGAUGGCUUGUGUCACCCAACCUCUCUGUUUUCCAUUGUUGAAUGGGUGAGAAGGAUCAAGGACAUACGUAUGAGGCUAGAAAAUCAAGUAGCACUAACAGCCACUCGGAGGUGGACAUAUAUGCCAUGGAACAUCAUUGUUAGAAAGCCUCAAGAACUAACAUCAAGAACAGAGCCUAAGGAAGAAAGGCCGCCAUGUUGAUUCUCAACGUUAAAAGCACUAAAUUGUUUGCCUAAUGCUCCUCCAGCUUGGGAAAUGCUGGCCUGUUUGCUCAAGUCCUGGAUGCCAGACAUUCCUGAGACUCCACUCCACACACACCCCUUCCUCCUUGCCAAUCACUUCAGAUUGGGAGAGCAAGCUACCACCAGUGUGCUAAGGGCCAAAGAGCCUUCCUUGAUGCCGGUCCAUGUAACGAACGUCCACUCAGUUCUGUGGGAAUUGGAGCUCCUGAUUGAAUACCUUUCUCCAGUUAAAAGAUGUCACUUAUACUGUGAACUCUUGUGGAGAGUGAUGUCUCUUAUCUUGUGAGGGUAGAAUGGCA
rnacentral:lncRNA from 1 species